rnacentral:rRNA from 1 species
AUUGAACGCUGGCGGAAUGCUUUACACAUGCAAGUCGAACGGCAGCACGGACUUCGGUCUGGUGGCGAGUGGCGAACGGGUGAGUAAUGUAUCGGAACGUGCCCAGUCGUGAGGGAUAACGUAGUGAAAAUUACGCUAAUACCGCAUACGAUCUAUGGAUGAAAGCGGGGGAUCGCAAGACCUCGCGCGAUUGGAGCAGCCGAUAUCAGAUUAGGUAGUUGGUGGGGUAAAGGCCCACCAAGCCAACGACCUGUAUCUGGUCUGAGAGGACGACCAGCCACACUGGAACUGAGACACGGUCCAGACUCCUACGGGAGGCAGCAGUGGGGAAUUUUGGACAAUGGGCGAAAGCCUGAUCCAGCCAUUCCGCGUGCAGGAUGAAGGCCCUCGGGUUGUAAACUGCUUUUGUACAGAACGAAAAGGUUUCUACUAAUACUAGGAGCUCAUGACGGUACUGUAAGAAUAAGCACCGGCUAACUACGUGCCAGCCGCCGCCGUAA